CCUACGGGUGGCUGCAGUCGAGAAUCUUCGGCAAUGGGCGCAAGCCUGACCGAGCGAUGCCGCGUGCGGGAUGAAGGCCUUCGGGUUGUAAACCGCUGUCGUAGGGGAGCAAGGGGAAACCUUGAGCGAUCCUAGGAGGAAGGACGGGCUAAGUUCGUGCCAGCAGCCGCGGUAAUACGAACCGUCCAAACGUUAUUCGGAAUCACUGGGCUUAAAGAGUCCGUAGGCGGCUCAGUAAGUAGGGUGUGAAAUCCCACGGCUCAACCGUGGAACUG
rnacentral:rRNA from 1 species